AUGAACCUGCUGCUGAUUUUCCUCUUCGUGCUGGAGGCGCCUUCAGGGGUCCUCUCCCAAGUGACGCUGAAGGAAACGGGCCCGGGAGCGGCGAAGCCCGGGGAGUCCCUGACACUCACUUGCACCAUCUCGGGAGACUCUGUUUCUAGCACCAGCAUCACGUGGACCUGGGUCUGGCAGCCCGCGGGGAAGGGGCUGGAAUGGGCGGGGCGCAUUUACUACAGAUCUAACAACUGCUCCACUAGCUACACCAGCGCCCUGCAGAGCCGAGUGACCAUCGCACAAGACACCGCCAAGAAUCAGUUCUCGCUGACAGCUGCGGACACCGCCACCUAUUACUGCGCCAGAGAGACACAGUGA